AUUAUCGAUUGGAUGGCGGUGAUUGGACGACGGUAGGCGCAUGCGACCCCUUCGCUCUUCCCCCACUUCAACAGACGAGGGCUCGUCGAAGAGAUUGAGAGAAGGGGGGGCGAAAUGGAGCGGCGAGGCGAGACGAUCGACGAGGAGCAGGGCCUUAUCGGCCCCCGUCCCCGCCCCGGCGGCGGAGGCGAAGGGGUUUCCGGCCGACGCACCUGGCCGACGGUGGACGGACCUCAUGGGCUGUCGGAAGAAGAGUCGGUCGCCUACGCCCGUAGCUACUUCUACUGGGGAUUCGCUCUCCUUCCCUUGCUCUGGGCCGUCAACUGCUGCUACUUCUGGCCCGUCCUGAGGAACUAUCAUCCCUCCCCUCACGUUCGCCGUUAUGUAAUGCCUUCUGCAAUUGGCUUUACGAUCUUCACUGUGCUCCUUGGUUCAUGGUCCCUUACAUUCUUAAUCGGAGGGGAGCAGCUUUUUGGUCCAGUAUGGAAUGAUCUUGUUAUGUACAACCUUGCAGACAAGUUAGGAUUGACGGGGUGGACAUAAAUGUGUGAAGAGAAACUCUUAUUUGGUUUGUUCAUCCAUGCAGAUCAGAAGACUGCUUGCACUUUCUGUCUCACUUUUUAUCUACCUGGAUUCCAGAACCACAUAACUACAUAUUCUUAUUUAUUGGUAUGUCAUUUAAAAGGUUUAUUAUAUUCAACUUGGAUAGAUAUAUCUUGUUUCAAAUUGGAAGUUGGAUCAAAUGUUUACUGGUCA